GUUAGCUUAGUGGCUACAGAUUUGCGCUACUGAAGCCGAGGGCGCAGGACCGAAUGCCGGCCAUGGGAGCCGCAUUUCGAUGCUGGCGAAAUGCAGAAACGCCCGUAUACCAUGCAUUAAAUUUAGAUGCAUUUUAAA
rnacentral:lncRNA from 1 species